GGCGGCGUGCUUAACACAUGCAAGUCGAACGAUGAAGCUGGAGCUUGCUCCGGUGGAUUAGUGGCGAACGGGUGAGUAACACGUGAGAAAUCUGCCCCUGACUCUGGGAUAACUGCGGGAAACUGUAGCUAAUACCGGAUACUUUCCCUGGUGGGCAUCCACUGGGGAAGAAAGAAUUUCGGUCAGGGAGGAUCUCGCGGCCUAUCAGCUAGUUGGUGAGGUAACGGCUCACCAAGGCGACGACGGGUAACCGGCCUGAGAGGGUGACCGGUCACACUGGGACUGAGACACGGCCCAGACUCCUACGGGAGGCAGCAGUGGGGAAUAUUGCACAAUGGGCGCAAGCCUGAUGCAGCAACGCCGCGUGAGGGAUGAAGGCCUUCGGGUUGUAAACCUCUUUUAGCAGGGAAGAAGCGAAAGUGACGGUACCUGCAGAAAAAGCACCGGCUAACUACGUGCCAGCAGCCGCGGUAAUACGUAGGGUGCAAGCGUUGUCCGGAAUUAUUGGGCGUAAAGAGCUCGUAGGCGGUUUGUCACGUCUGCUGUGAAAAUCCAAGGCUCAACCUUGGACUUGCAGUGGGUACGGGCAGGCUAGAGUGCGGUAGGGGAGAUGGGGAUUCCUGGUGUAGCGGUGGAAUGCGCAGAUAUCAGGAGGAACACCAAUGGCGAAGGCACAUCUCUGGGCCGUAACUGACGCUGAGGAGCGAAAGCGUGGGGAGCGAACAGGAUUAGAUACCCUGGUAGUCCACGCCGUAAACGGU
rnacentral:rRNA from 1 species